AGCAGCAUGGCGCAGUGGUAGCGCGCGGGGCCCAUAUAAGGCAGGCCGCACAAUCUUCGGCACCCCGAGGUCACUUGAUCGAAACAAGUUGCUGCUA